rnacentral:lncRNA from 1 species
AAGAGAUGGAGUCUUGCUCUGUCGCCCAGACUCGGGUACAGUGGCAUGAUCUCGGCUCAUUGCAACCUCUGCCUCCCAGGUUUAAGAGAUUCUCCUGCCUCCGCUUCCCUGGGAUUACAUGCGCCCACCAUCACACCCAGAUAAUUUUUGAAUUUUUAAUAGAGAUGGGGUUUCACCAUCUUGGCCACGCUGGUCUUGAACUCCUGACCUCGUGAUCCACCCGCCUUGGCCUCCCAAAGUGCUGGGAUUAUAGGCGUGAGCCACCAUGCCCGGCCUGUACCAUGAUUUCUUUAACCAGCUCCUAGAAUCAAGCAUUACCAAGAUCUUCCCAUUAGAAACAGCAUGGAUGGUGAUCUAGCUCAUUUGAAUGUAGAGUUUAAUGCUCUUUAACAAUUGCUUUAUUAAAUUACUCUGAAUUUAUAUUAAUAAGUAUCUUAUUACUAUUUUAUGUUUUGUAGAGACAGAGUCUUGUCAUGUUGCCCAGGCUAGUCUCAAACUUCUGGCCUCAAGUGAUUCUCCUGCAUUGGCCUUCCAACAUGCUAGGAUUACAGACAUGAGCCACCAUGCCAGGCAGUAUCUUAUUAUUGUUAUUAUUUUCAAGGGUCUCAAUCUGUCACCCAGGCUGGUGUGCAGUGGCGUGACCUCAGCUCACUGCAACCACUGCCUCCCAGGCUCAAGCAAUC